UACGGAGGAUGCGAGCGUUAUCCGGAUUUAUUGGGUUUAAAGGGUGCGUAGGCGGACGCUUAAGUCAGCGGUAAAAUUGCGGGGCUCAACCUCGUCGAGCCGUUGAAACUGGGUGUCUUGAGUGGGCGAGAAGUACGCGGAAUGCGUGGUAUAGCGGUGAAAUGCAUAGAUAUCACGCAGAACUCCGAUUGCGAAGGCAGCGUACCGGCGCCCAACUGACGCUGAAGCACGAAGGCGUGGGUAUCGAACAGG
rnacentral:rRNA from 1 species